UGCGGGAUCGGCUAAUGGUAGGCCACAGCACUCUGAAUGCUGGUAUCUAGGUUCGAAUCCUAGUCCCGCAG
rfam:Candidatus Zambryskibacteria bacterium RIFCSPHIGHO2_01_FTLL_44_22b rifcsphigho2_01_scaffold_12042, whole genome shotgun sequence.